rnacentral:rRNA from 1 species
AUACGUAGGUGGCAAGCGUUGUCCGGAAUUAUUGGGCGUAAAGCGCGCGCAGGCGGCCUUUUAAGUCUGAUGUGAAAGCCCACGGCUCAACCGUGGAGGGUCAUUGGAAACUGGAAGGCUUGAGUGCAGAAGAGGAGAGCGGAAUUCCACGUGUAGCGGUGAAAUGCGUAGAGAUGUGGAGGAACACCAGUGGCGAAGGCGGCUCUCUGGUCUGUAACUGACGCUGAGGCGCGAAAGCGUGGGGAGCGAACAGGAUUAGAUACCCUGGUAGUCCACGCCGUAAACGAUGAGUGCUAAGUGUUGGAGGGUUUCCGCCCUUCAGUGCUGCAGCUAACGCAUUAAGCACUCCGCCUGGGGAGUACGGCCGCAAGGCUGAA